CGUCACGAGAGACGAGUUCGUCAGGAAGCAGAAGACAGAGACCAUCGUGUACUCCCGGGAGAAGAACCCCAACACCUUCGAGUGCAUCGUGCCCAGCAACAUCGAGGCCGUGGCGGCCAAGAACAAGCACUGCUGCUGGAGGCCAGCAUCGGCUGCGUGAGGGACCUGAUCAAGUCCAAGAUCUACCCCAUCGUGCUCUUCGUGCGGGUGUCGGAGAAGAACAUCAAGAGGUUCAGGAAGCUGCUGCCCCGGCCCGAGACGGAGGAGGAGUUCCUGCGCCUGUGCCGGCUCAAGGAGCGCGAGCUGGAGGCGCUGCCGUGCCUCUACGCCACGGUGGAGGCCGACACCUGGGGCUCGGUGGAGGAGCUGCUGCGGCUGCUCAAGGACAGGAUCGCGGAGGAGCAGCGCAAGACCGUGUGGGUGGACGAGGCGCAGCUGUGAGGCAGUCCCGGAGCAUGGGCGUGGGCGGCCUGCACCCCCGGGCCCUGGCGCCCACCCACGGCCCAGCCCACCAGGGCGGCAGCUCCCCGCCUUGACGGGCCCCGGGGCCCCGCCGCUGGGCCGGGACAGCAGGUGAAUGUAGGGUGGGCCCCGUGCGUGGACCUGCGCGGACCUGCGCGGACUCACCGCCCCCGGCCGGGCUCUCCGGGAGGGCAGCGGGCCGCGCUCUUCCUUGUCUUGCAUUAAAGUUUCUACGUUCCUUUGUGUUAAGCCAUUUCUGU
rnacentral:lncRNA from 1 species